rnacentral:lncRNA from 1 species
AAAUCAUCCUAUUUUUUUAAAAAAUGGAUUUUUUUUUUUAAAUGAGAAUUUUAUGCAAUUCAGAUGUUAGAAUAUUUGCUUUUAAAUGUUUUAAAAUUCAACAGCCCAUAUUGUUGCCGUUCUCUCUGCAACACUCGUUUUCCACCCCAUAAGGUGCUGCUUUGCCAGCGAAACCGACCCCAUACCAGGUCGGGGCCAAAUGCUCACACAGACCCCAAGUAUAGGUGAAGCAAAAUGGCGUUUAUUAAAAUGUAGCAGGCACUUAAAUAUUCUCGUCCCGCUUUGUCUACACCCCUUGCAUACACGCUGUCCUAUUAUGGGACAGCACCUGGCAAGCCCUGAGCAUAGGGAACCUGACCCCGUCACACACCGUCUCCUCGCCACGCCUACUACAUCUCCCCCUCCCUAUGCUCAGUAAUAUCCCGUAACAGCGCGAACGCAAACGCUACAAUUGUUCCCGAUACCUGUGAUACUCUAUACUCUAUGCAUUGGUCCAUAAGCUACUACAUAAUCCUUAGCAAGCAAUUCUGAAAGCACAUAAUCACACACGGCAGAAUAGCGGCAAUACACACAAUUACUAAGAGUGCUAAUACUAUGUCCUUAACGAUCUUCGCAAUCCAACUCCCGAAGUUGCCAAACGUCUUCUUGAACCAGUCUCCGAUGGGGUCGUCGUCCACCUGGAUCCUCUCCGUAUGGUCUCGCAGGGCUUUCAGCGCUUUAUGGAUGGAUACGCUGUGGUCGCUAAGAUUGAAGCAACACAUUCCUUCUAGGUCCUCUAACAUCGCAUUCAAUACUAAUGUUGUUAAAUUCGCCUGCUUAACUGACCAACAUGCUAGGCGUUCUAUCUGAGCCAAGCUCUGUGCUGCAGCAACCCCAGGGUCGUUCAGAGAUUUUAUCAAACAUGCCGUUUGGCUAGCUAGAUCGGUGUUGUUACGGCAGCUGGAAUGGUUUGUAGUGUACCUCGCAAAGGCUUCUACCGUGUAUUGAGGGAUGCCCAUUAGGCAAGUGCAAAAAAGUGAGGUUGCCGAUUGCAAACUAAAGCAAAAGUUGUUUUGGCUCGUCUUAUUUACCUAAGUAACCCGUAAAUUCCCUGACAGUGACAAAAGGUGAAUUCCCUCGCUCCCUGUGAUAAAGCAAUAACCACCACACACACUAAACAUAGCAUUUGCCUGUUAGAAACGCGUUUUCUCGUUGGCAGCAACGGUUGAGUUUCCUCCACGCUUCUCCCGGCCUUCUUUUGGGGUUCCUGGGCUGUCUCCUUCUUCGGCGUUCACAGGAGCCAUACCUGCAAAACUCAGAGUCCCUCGUUACUGUUCUCUUUCAUCAGAUCUGGUUUGACCUUUCUCGCCGGGAUCCACAUGACACUUCCCGUAUUGACAUGUUUUACGGGACGAGGGGAAUGUCUUACUGGCUCCCAUAUUCCUGCCUAUGUGUCAAGAAUCAUUUAUAAAAUUAUUUU